rnacentral:rRNA from 1 species
UAUUGUACCUAUACCACCCUUGAACAUGCCUGAUCUCUUUUGAUCUUGGAAGCUAAGCAGGGUCGGGCCUGGUUAGUAUUUGGCCUGGUUAGUAUUUGGU